rnacentral:rRNA from 1 species
CCUACGGGCGGCAGCAGUAGGGAAUCUUCCACAAUGGGCGAAAGCCUGAUGGAGCAACGCCGCGUGGGUGAAGAAGGUCUUCGGAUCGUAAAACCCUGUUGUUAGAGAAGAAAGUGCGUGAGAGUAACUGUUCACGUUUCGACGGUAUCUAACCAGAAAGCCACGGCUAAAUACGUGCCAGCAGCCGCGGUAAUACGUAGGUGGCAAGCGUUAUCCGGUUUUAUUGGGCGUAAAGGGAACGCAGGCGGUCUUUUAAGUCUGAUGUGAAAGCCUUCGGCUUAACCGGAGUAGUGCAUUGGAAACUGGGAGACGUGAGUGCAGAAGAGGAGAGUGGAACUCGAUGUGUAGCGGUGAAAUGCGUAGAUAUAUGGAAGAACACCAGUGGCGAAAGCGGCUCUCUGGUCUGUAACUGACGCUGAGGUUCGAAAGCGUGGGUAGCAAACAGGAUUAGAUACCCGUGUAGUC